CCGUACACUUGCAACAUGGUGAGUAAGAGCAGAGUGGUAAAGUCGUGCUUCCAGUUUUGUAAUUGUAUUUUAAUUUUUACAACUCGGUACAUUGUAAUGUUAGGCGGAUUACCUUCCAGUGUAUUUAGCUAGCUAGGGAUGAGCAGGUUUUUCUGGGAAUUUAGGAAUUAGGCAGACGCCAGCAGAAUUGUAUUAUGACAGGCUGUGAAAAUAAUACUAAUGUAAACUAAGCCUGUGCUUUUGUGGCUCACAGACAGACAGCGAGCAUAAAAUUUUAAGAAUAACAAGUAUUAGCUAAAAAGGUAAAACUUUUGUAGCUGGGGUAGCCCUGAAAAUACUAGAAACCUGGCUAGUCCUAUCCUUAUUACGUGAUAAACAAACAGUUUUGAUGCUGAUAUACAAACUUUCCCACUCCUCCUCCUCCUCAUCAUCAUUCUCCAGCUUAACGUCUGUUUUCCAUGCUAGCAUGGGUUGGACAGGGUAUAUUAAUGACCCUCUUCCAAUCUGAUCUAGACUGUGUUAGAUCUAAACUCAACUUCCUCUGUAUCAAGUCUGUCCUUAUCACCUCCUGGCAAGUCUUUCUCCGUCUGCCUCUGGGAUUUGCCCCAGCAACUAUCAAGUCUCUACACUUUCUUACCCAAUUAUCCUCCUAUCACUACAUAAUCUUAUGGUUUUGACUCUACAGCAUGCAGGGGUGAACAGGGCAACAGAGAAUCCAACUUUUAAAACACUAAUGAUUUGCCUUUAACACAAGUUGUGGCAUGACAUAAUGUUGUAACUUUGCAAUCUAGAACAAUGGACAUGGCCACACGCACAUACAGGCAAAGUAUAUAAACAACAGACCACAACAAUUGAACAAAAGUCAAAACUCAUCUAUAUAUUAAUACGGAAGUUGUGUUUGUCUGUGACCACAAAAGUGGAUAUCUUUAUUUUCUUUUGAUGUCACCGAAAAAGUUAUGUCUAAUUUGUUAUUCUUUUUGACGUUAUGACGAGACUUCAAUGCAUUUAGACUGAUGUCAUUGCGUUUAAUAAGAUUGGUAAAGCCAUUGCAUAGCUUGAACUUGAAAAUGAUGUGGUGACGUCACCUGGGACCAAUUUGGAUAAGUUCCCUGAACCUAGGUACCCGUAUCCGUUUCAGAAUGGCUGGGUUGAUGACAUCAUCAAAAAACCUUUAAACCACCCCAAUAUCUCUAAAUUUUCAAAAACAUUUUUUCAUAUAUUUGUUUGACUUUGCCGACGUCAGCAAAAUUUUUAACAUUUACAUUUUCUUAGGCAUUCAUCCAAACUCUGCGGUUGUAUACAUUAAUUCAAUCAAAUAUUAAAUCUCUACACAAUAAAGGCAACAAAUUUCUAAAAAAAUAUCUUGUCUCAGCUCUUUCCUGACGUUAUUAAAGUUUAAGUUAUGGUUCUCUUUUCCAUUGUACUUCUACCUAAGUUGAUUUUUCCACAGGCCUUGACUAGUCGGAAUUAUUUCUAAAGUUUAUUACUAAAGUUUAUUUUUAUAAAAAACAAAUUUCUUAACUUGAUUAAAUUGAUAUUGUGUCAGUGAUUUUGCUAAAAGUCUGACUUUUUUUAUUUAAUUAAGGUGGAACUCAAAAAGUAUGUUUCUUAAAAAGAAGACGUAGUAUUUAUUGAUUAAAAUAGUUACAGUACUUGGACCCACAUCAUCCUCCAUCUGAUAAGACAAAAAAAAGUAUAUAUAUAAUCUAAUCUGCAAGUAUCAUCGCAGCUCUGAACGCAUUGAUUGCUACUUUUUGUACAUCAUUUUUUAAUAGCAAAAAAAAAUUUUCCUUUAGGUGCUUACCUACCUGUGGUAUGUUAAAACAAUAACUGAAGCAGUGUUAGGUUUUUUUUAGUCCUAAAAACACAGUAGCUUUUGUCAAUUGGAAAAUCCAUGGAUAAAAUCCUAUUGAUCAUCCAACCAACUCAUUUUUUCAUAGACUUAAGGAUGAUGCGAACAUAACAUAUCACUGACUUUGACAAUCUCAUAUAUAUAUGUAUAAGCCAAAAUUUUAAAAAUCACAACUGCAUGCAAUUAAGAAUGCUGUUGUUUAUCCCUGUUAUUUGUGCUGUUAUUUAUGCCUUUGUUUAUCCCUUCUUAUUUUGUUUUUUCCCUUACCCUGUUGUUUUACCCCUUACCCUAUUUUUUAUAUAAUUUUAUACAAUUUAUUCAUAAUUUUAUUGCACACAUGUUAAUAGCAGCUUUUAUUAGUCUAUAUAUUGGCAAAUAGAAAAAGAAAACAAGGUUUUUAUCUAAGUAACUUGCACUUAAUACUUUUCAUUGUUCACAGUGUACUUAGGAUUUAAGAUCUUAUGUGUUAUUUGUGUCGCUGUGCAUUUAAGAGGUGCAUAACACCAUCAAAACAUUUGGUUGUUUCACUCAGAUAUCUGCCGAUUUGAGCAUGUCGGAAGAAGCAUAGUGGGAGGAGGGUUUCCCAGGAGGUAAAUAAUGAGACACUGCAAUGAAAAUAACUUAUGGAACAAAUUAAAUUCGCAUCAUAAAAUUGUUUGUUAUUUGAACAAUUAUUUGCCAAUUUUUUGUUUAAUUUUCGAUUAUUUAUUUGUUCCUUGUAAAUUGUUUAAGGGCUAAUUUCACGCCACAUUCUUUUGAAAAAAUUUUGAGUAGAAACAUUGCACAUUGGUCAUUUCUAAUUUUCUCCUUGAAUUAUUUUCUCUUUCAUCUUGUUCAAGAGUAAGUAAAAAUAUUUUAACUCGUAUUCGAAUCUAGAGCAUAAUGUAAAAACAAAUUAUUGUUAAAGAUGGUGUCUGCUCUGCAUAUAUUGCAAAAUGUCUAAUGCAGAAAAUCCAAUAACGUGAAUAAAACUGUUAAAGAGAUUGAAAAAUGAAACUAAAAUAAACAAAAUGUCUUAAAUGAAUUGUAUGGAUGUUUAAAUCAGAUAAAACAAGAAAUUUUUAAUUUCAUAAUGUGGUUGCUAAGAUGCUAUUUUUAAUUAAAUAGAAUAAAUAGAUUUUAAAAACAUUAAAAGCUCAGAAAUUAUGUAAACAAAUGUACAUUUUUGGUAUUUUAUGCAAUUAUAUAAAGUCAAAGCAAACAAUGAUUCACCUUUUUUUCUGGGGAAUGUUCACAACUUUUCUUAACUAAACAAUAUGCGUUACACACAACUCUCAAGGAAAAGCAAAACGGCAGACACAGGCGGGGAGACCACAAGGCAAACUAGCUCUAUUUAUAAGUCAUUACAACCUUUUAUUUACUCAUUAAAUUCAGCAUAUCCUUCUGUAUCAACAGGUAACUUUCUGGCGUAACUUAAAAGACACUAAACAUUAUGUAACUAACUGUUUAGCUACUUCAACAAAAUAAUUUCCUAGCUUCGAGCUUGAAAUUUAUUUUUCAAUCUUUGUUUACCAAAAAAUAUAUUUCACUUGCGAAGUUUUACUACGUUGAUAAUGUGAUGCAUCCUUGUUUUAAGUAUGAUUGCUAAUUAAAGUUCUGUAGUUGUUUUCAUCCUCUCUUCGCCUCAUUAUUUGUUUACAAUUGUUAUUUAAACUUUCUAACGCUCACCUCAUCAAGUGACUAUGUCUAUUGUUUUUUCGAUAGAUCCCACUCACUGACAUCAACAUGCUGAGACCUUUAUCACUAUAUAUCAUCAUAUAUUACCUUUAAAAACUUUAAAAAAGUGGCAAAGAAUGCUUAUUAAAGAAUAAGUUUGAGUUAUUGCUGUUAACAUGUAUUUAUUGUCAUAUAGAACAAAGAGUAAGACAAUAUCACUGACCCUGUAAAUAUAGCUAAGAAAGUGUUGGGUUAUACAAAAAAGAUUGCAUAUGAGUAUUGGAUGAAAGUAUUUUUGAGCAAGGAAGAAUAUUAGAAAGCAAGAGAAGCUGUUGGAUUCCAUCAAAAAGAUUAUAGACUAUCAGAACAAAAGAUUACUGAGGAAGAAGAAUGUUAGAAAGUCUUAUAGAAUACAAAAAGGUUAGUGGUUUUAUUAAUUGCCAAUUACAAUUGACAAAACCUAAUUCACACAGUUUUAAAGAUCAAUGUGUAUUUCACACUUUUACAGUCUGAUUCAGAUCAGUGGAAACCAGCCUUCACAGUUUCUGCCAUAAAGUUAGAAUAACUAUAAAGAAAAUUAUACUUGUGUGGUGCAAAAUUAAAGGUUAAAUUAUGAUAAUUACGACAGUUCAUAGUUCUUGUAGAACUGGUACGCUCAUGUGCUGAUUGAAAGUUCCAUUAAUAUGAUUUUUACCCAGUUAAAUUUUUUUACACGUACCCGGUGUAUUAACAGAUUUUGUUGUAAAAUCAAUUUCAUGGUGUGUAGAUAAAAUUAACCAUGCUUAGAAUGUUGCGUUAAAAAUAUAAUGUACACUUUGAUCACAUGUUUCUGUGUGUCUGCAUUUAAUUAUCAAAGGUGCACAAGCUAUUUCUCAAUAUUUGACUUGGUUGUUGUAUUUUCAGUAUUAUAAAGUACAAUAUAUUUUAUCACAUUAGUGUUUGCAUUGUAGCAAAUUUUUUGUAGCCACAUCCCUAACUUUUAUAUAAUGUGUUAUUAUGUUUGCUUUUUCAAAUUUCAAUUUAGAGUGGUAGAUUUUAAUAAAGGACCAAAUAGUAUAUCCUUUUUGUAAUUAAGACUAUUUUUUUUAUUGAGAGACGUUUUUAUUUUUAGUUUCAUCUGGUUAGUAGGAUUUAUCUAGACACGUAAACUUCUACGGAUGCACAUUUUUGCAUCAUUUCUGUCCAAUUCUUAUUUGUUAUUUUCCUAAUUUGUUUUAAAUCUCAGAUUAUAAAUAUUUCAUCCAAAGAAUCUAAUGAUGUUAAUAAUUUGUCUCCAUGAAUUUUAAGUGCUGGAUUAUAAGCCCAUUUUAAAAAGUUUGACCUUUUUAUUAAGUUACAGACAUGUGUAGAAUGUUAUAAAAAUGUUUUUUGCAAAGCACUGCUACUGCACUCCUAACUAAUAAAUUUUAACAAAAAUCUUACUCAAAUGUCAAGUAGAUGUCAAAUCAUAAUCUUGUUAGAUGUUAUUUCUUUUUAUAAAAGUACUUUCGCAAGGCUUUUGUUUCAAACAUUUUUAAGCCUUGGGUUUUUGUGCUAAUACAGAUAAUUGUUUUGUAUUAUAUAAAUUUAGUGUUUCUAGGCAACUUUUUUGGUGACGUUAUGUUUUUCAUCUAAAUCACAUUUUUUAUUUUCGUAUUUAAUGCCUUGUUUAAUCAGUGUAGCUGCGGUACGACUUAUUUUACCAUUUUUGGGAUAUAUAUCGGUAUUUAUAUCAACUUUAAAACCUGACACACACAUACACAUUUUUAAUGUACGCUUGCCGUAAUUUAUGUGAUGUAUUAGUUGUUUGUUAUGACAACAACACAGAGUCGUGGUAACAGUAACAUCAAAAUUCUAAAUCCUAAUAUAUCACAGCUGUGGCAUGGAAAAUGAUACUGCUUCUGUUAAUUUUUUCUUUAAGAAGGUCAGAUUUGGAUAUUUUCACAAUAAACUUUUAUUUGCAGGUGGCUUUCAAGGCUGUUGUUUUUCAUAAGUUCAUUCAAUUUAUUCCAAUGCUAGAUAACCAAGUCAUCAUUUUUUAGGUAUUGUAUCUGGUUUCUACUUUCAUGAAAAUAUACCGUCCCAUGGUAAAUAUAUCACUUUUAUAUUCGGAUGCAUUAAACAACAUUAGCCAUGUUGAAGAGUUAUGGUUUUAACAGAAAGAAAAGUUUGCAGGUAUUUUGACAAAAGUUGACACAAAACUUAAAUAUUUAAGUUUAAUUUAGUUUUGUGUUGAAACAAGAAAUUCACAUUCACUUAUAAAAUAUUGUUUUAUUGCUUACAAAAAUAUACAACUAAAUGUUUCCACAGGCAUCUUGUGACAUGUUUCUUAAUGUUUUUUUGCAUAUCUUUAAGCUUCAAUCAAUCUUGAUCACAUUUUUCAGACAAUAGCAGUAUUUCAAAUAGUUAAAAGGUCUGCUUGUUUUAAAAAACCUCUUAUGCUUAUGCAGUCAUGAAAAAUAAAAUUUGAAAACAUCUAAAUUUUUAAAAACAUCUGAAAAUUGCAUUGACUUCUUUGGGCUACAAAAUCACUACUUUAGCAAAUGCUUAGGUGCGGUGGAAAGCUCUAACAUUUUCAAUCUUAAAUUACGAAAUAAUUCUCAUGAGGGCCCAGAAAAACCUAAAUAUUUAAAAAAGAAACAUGCUGACGUCAGCAAAAAUCAACUUCUUUUGGGGUUUUGUGUCUAUCCAAAUCCACUGUGAUCAAUGACAAGUGAACAUUCACAAGUUCGAAACACUUCAAUCUUAUAAAGAGAAAGUUAAAAUUUGCAGUCUACAAUCCUGGUCUCAACAAAUUUUAACCAGGAUUGUAGAUUUCAGAUUUGUUAGGAAUUUUUUUGGUUUUUACUACAUGCAAAUUCCUUUAUUCAUAAAAUUCAUUAUUAAUAAUCUAUUUUUUUCUUUAUUUUAAUUUCAAAAAGUUACACUCCCCAUGUAGCCAAUCUCACAAGAAGCAUAAAUGUUCUCUUUUAAUUGUUUUAAGCCGCAUUUUUUUAAUUUUUUGCAUUUUAAAAGAUUGAUAUUCAUGCUUCGUUUUCUCUUUUAGAAAACUUGAUAAGUCAGAUUUUUGCUAAAACUUUCAACAUCCUAUUUGUGGUGGUCAGUGUGUUAAAUGGUGUAUGCAAUACUGUGAGAAUGCUGCUUCCCCCCCCCCCCCCCCCCAAAAAAAAAAGAAAAAAAAU